GUGAACUUUCCUUCCUUUCCUUACUGCUGUAAAGAUUUUUUAUAACUUUCACUCCUGUUCUAAAACCUGCCUUGAUCUCUCUCCUUCUGCCUUACGGCCCUCAGUCGAAUUCUUUCUUCUGAGGAGGCAAGAAUGGAGGUUGCCGCAGACUCAUACAGAGUCUUCUACAGGACAUAAUCCUCAGACCUGCUAAAACUGGGAAAAGCUGCAGCAGCCUUCAUCAGCAUCAGGGCUGCAGGAGCGGGUCCCCUCACCAGCAUUUCAACCAAGUUGGGGGCUGGGAUACUGGAAACGCACGCACUACGCCAUUUCCAUUGGGAUGGGUGAAGUGAGUGACAGAGCUGGCUUUGCCAUGCUCUCCAGUGACAUUCCAGUGGAAACACUCUUUAGGAAGUAACACGUCUGGCACCAGAGUUGACUUUUAAUUUGUCCUAAAGCCGCUGAAGCAAAAACCAUAAAACAUUCUGCUUUCUUUUCUUUUACAACCCCACGAACGCAAAAAAAAAUAACAAAAGAAACAACAACAAAACCCAAACUAUUUGUAGGAAAAAAUGGUUUUGUACAUGGGAUGAAACAAUAUAAAUUCAAAACUUACAGAUAAGGGUUAGCUCUAUCACUCAACUCUUUAAAAAGUUUAUAUGAAUAUCCAGUCAAAACCAACAAGGUAUUGCGCCCUUGAAAUGUUAACUAGACGGAUUUCCAA